rnacentral:rRNA from 1 species
AUUGAACGCUGGCGGCAAGCCUAACACAUGCAAGUCGAACGAGUGGCGGACGGGUGAGUAAUGUCUGGGAAACUGCCUGAUAGAGGGGGAUAACUACUGGAAACGGUAGCUAAUACCGCAUACCAUCGGAUGUGCCCAAAUGGGAUUAGCUAGUAGGUGGGGUAAAGGCUCACCUAGGCGACGAUCCCUAGCUGGUCUGAGAGGAUGACAAGCCACACUGGAACGGAGACACGGGCCAGACUCCUACGGGAGGCAGCAGGGGGGAAUAUGGCACAAUGGGCGAAAGCCUGAUGCAGCCAUGCCGCGUGUAUGAAGAAGGCCUUCGGGUUGUAAAGUACUUUCAGCGGGGAGGCGUUACCCGCAGAAGAAGCACCGGCUAACUCCGUGCCAGCAGCCGCGGUAAUUC